UUUUAUUUUAUUUUAUUUUAGUAUUCAUUUGCUGUCUUUCUGCAGCUUUAUCUUAUCCUUUAUAUGUGUGUCUAUGUGUGUCUUUGUGUCUGUGUCAACUCACAUGCAUAGUCAGACGUAGGAUUCUCAUCUGCUCCAGCACUACAUCUGCCCAUAGACCACCAUGCUCCCGCCAUGAAUGAUAAUGGACUGAACUUCUGAAACUAAUGUUUGGCAGACUCUUCCAUGAAGCAGGAACCCUUCAGGACUGUCCAUCUUGUUUUCUGUGGGUCCUGCAUGUCCAGCUUAUACAGCAACAAACAGGCCAGGUAGGAGCAGUCUCUUGCCCAAAUGGCUAAUCUUGCCAUGUUGAAAGCAAACUCCAUAACGAGUUUCUUCAAUGCCCAUUUUCCUCUCAGAAGUAAUUGGACUACCAGGAGCAGUUGUGUCUCACUGCCAUGAAAAAC
rnacentral:lncRNA from 1 species